rnacentral:rRNA from 1 species
CCUACGGGAGGCAGCAGUGAGGAAUAUUGGUCAAUGGACGAGAGACUGAACCAGCCAAGUAGCGUGAGGGAGGAAUGCCCAGUGGAUUGUAAACUUCUUUUAUAAAGGAAUAAAACGAGGCACGUGUGCCUUUUUGCAUGUACUUGAUGAAAAAGGAUCGGCUAACUCCGUGCCAGCAGCCGCGGUAAUACGGAGGAUCCGAGCGUUAUCCGGAUUUAUUGGGUUUAAAGGGAGCGUAGAUGGGUUGUUAAGUCAGUUGUGAAAGUUUGCGGCUCAACCGUAAAAUGGCAAUUGAUACUGGCAGUCUUGAGUACAGUUGAGGUAUGCGGAAUGCGUGGUGUAGCGGUGAAAUGCUUAGAUAUCGCGAAGAACCCCGAUUGCGAAGGCAGCUUGCUAACC